GGUCAAGUGAAGAAGCGCAUACGGUGGAUGCCUUGGCAGUCAGAGGCGAUGAAAGACGUGGUAGCCUGCGAUAAGCUUUGGGGAGUCGGCAAACAGACUGUGAUCCAGAGAUCUCUGAAUGGGGGAACCCACUCAGCAUAAGCUGAGUAUCUUGUACUGAAUACAUAGGUGCAAGAGGCGAACCAGGGGAACUGAAACAUCUAAGUACCCUGAGGAAAAGAAAUCAACCGAGAUUCCCUUAGUAGUGGCGAGCGAACGGGGACCAGCCCUUAAGUUGAUUUGAGAUUAGUGGAACGCUCUGGAAAGUGCGGCCAUAGUGGGUGAUAGCCCCGUACACGAAAAUCUCUUAUCAAUGAAAUCGAGUAGGACGGAGCACGAGAAACUUUGUCUGAAUAUGGGGGGACCAUCCUCCAAGGCUAAAUACUACUGACUGACCGAUAGUGAACCAGUACCGUGAGGGAAAGGCGAAAAGAACCCCGGAGAGGGGAGUGAAAUAGAACCUGAAACCGUAUGCGUACAAGCAGUGGGAGCCUACUUUGUUAGGUGACUGCGUACCUUUUGUAUAAUGGGUCAGCGACUUAUAUUCAGUGGCGAGCUUAACCGAAUAGGGGAGGCGUAGCGAAAGCGAGUCUUAAUAGGGCGUUUAGUCGCUGGGUAUAGACCCGAAACCGGGCGAUCUAUCCAUGGGCAGGUUGAAGGUUAGGUAACACUGACUGGAGGACCGAACCGACUACCGUUGAAAAGUUAGCGGAUGACCUGUGGAUCGGAGUGAAAGGCUAAUCAAGCUCGGAGAUAGCUGGUUCUCCUCGAAAGCUAUUUAGGUAGCGCCUCAUGUAUCACUGUAGGGGGUAGAGCACUGUUUCGGCUAGGGGGUCAUCCCGACUUACCAAACCGAUGCAAACUCCGAAUACCUACAAGUGCCGAGCAUGGGAGACACACGGCGGGUGCUAACGUCCGUCGUGAAAAGGGAAACAACCCAGACCGUCAGCUAAGGUCCCAAAGUCAUGGUUAAGUGGGAAACGAUGUGGGAAGGCUUAGACAGCUAGGAGGUUGGCUUAGAAGCAGCCACCCUUUAAAGAAAGCGUAAUAGCUCACUAGUCGAGUCGGCCUGCGCGGAAGAUGUAACGGGGCUCAAACCAUGCACCGAAGCUACGGGUAUCACCUUUUGGUGAUGCGGUAGAGGAGCGUUCUGUAAGCCUGUGAAGGUGAGUUGAGAAGCUUGCUGGAGGUAUCAGAAGUGCGAAUGCUGACAUGAGUAACGACAAUGCGAGUGAAAAACUCGCACGCCGAAAGACCAAGGUUUCCUGCGCAACGUUAAUCGACGCAGGGUUAGUCGGUCCCUAAGGCGAGGCUGAAAAGCGUAGUCGAUGGAAAACAGGUUAAUAUUCCUGUACUUCCAGUUAUUGCGAUGGAGGGACGGAGAAGGUUAGGCCAGCCUGGCGUUGGUUGUCCAGGUUUAAGGUGGUAGGCUGAAAUCUUAGGCAAAUCCGGGAUUUCAAGGCCGAGAGCUGAUGACGAGUUGCCUUUAGGCGACGAAGUGGUUGAUACCAUGCUUCCAAGAAAAGCUCCUAAGCUUCAGAUAACUGGGAACCGUACCCCAAACCGACACAGGUGGUUAGGUAGAGAAUACCAAGGCGCUUGAGAGAACUCGGGUGAAGGAACUAGGCAAAAUGGCACCGUAACUUCGGGAGAAGGUGCGCCGGCGAGGGUGAAGGACUUGCUCCGUAAGCUCAUGCCGGUCGAAGAUACCAGGCCGCUGCGACUGUUUAUUAAAAACACAGCACUCUGCAAACACGAAAGUGGACGUAUAGGGUGUGACGCCUGCCCGGUGCCGGAAGGUUAAUUGAUGGGGUUAGCGCAAGCGAAGCUCUUGAUCGAAGCCCCGGUAAACGGCGGCCGUAACUAUAACGGUCCUAAGGUAGCGAAAUUCCUUGUCGGGUAAGUUCCGACCUGCACGAAUGGCGUAACGAUGGCGGCGCUGUCUCCACCCGAGACUCAGUGAAAUUGAAAUCGCUGUGAAGAUGCAGUGUAUCCGCGGCUAGACGGAAAGACCCCGUGAACCUUUACUAUAGCUUUGCACUGGACUUUGAAUUUGCUUGUGUAGGAUAGGUGGGAGGCUUUGAAGUGGGGACGCCAGUUCUCAUGGAGCCAUCCUUGAAAUACCACCCUGGCAACUUUGAGGUUCUAACUCAGGUCCGUUAUCCGGAUCGAGGACAGUGUAUGGUGGGUAGUUUGACUGGGGCGGUCUCCUCCCAAAGAGUAACGGAGGAGUACGAAGGUGCGCUCAGACCGGUCGGAAAUCGGUCGUAGAGUAUAAAGGCAAAAGCGCGCUUGACUGCGAGACAAACACGUCGAGCAGGUACGAAAGUAGGUCUUAGUGAUCCGGUGGUUCUGUAUGGAAGGGCCAUCGCUCAACGGAUAAAAGGUACUCCGGGGAUAACAGGCUGAUACCGCCCAA
rnacentral:rRNA from 1 species